CAAGGCCAUCCAAAAUGUAUCAUGUUUCUCGUCCUGCUGCUGCUGCUGUUUCAUCUUGUUAGAGUGGAUGCUCGACCGCCCCGACUAAAUCAUCAAACUCUCCAACCUUCUGGAUAUAUUUCGGUAACAGGUUGUAGCAGCGACUGCGAAGUAGCCUGCUGUUAUUGUGACAUCAGAAUAAAGCCACCACUCUGCAUCCAGUGCUGCAAAGAAGAGCCUUGACAAGCAGGCAUGUGAGAUCGGAGAUAACAAAACAAGAAAUUGCACCGAACAAAAGCUCGAGUCUCAAAGCAGUAGCAAACAGACCAAAAGGACUUAUGAAGUUACACUCUGCACCGGAAUAUGUGAGAGAACAAUUAAACUGUUACAUUACAAAAUCACCCACCAUUGGGUUAUGUACUUUCAUCAGAGCUCGAUUCUUUUAUUGAAUUUAUUUGCUAUUAUAGAGUACACAUUGUGUAACAUUUGGAAACAGGCUAAAUUAAAAGUACUCGAAUGAAACACCUUGGACCAAGCACGACAAGAAAGUAUGCUUCUUAAUCCGAGGUAAGUUACCUUAAA